GACGAACGCUGGCGGCGUGCUUAACACAUGCAAGUCGAACGGAAAGGCCCUGCUUUUGUGGGGUGCUCGAGUGGCGAACGGGUGAGUAACACGUGAGUAACCUGCCCUUGACUUUGGGAUAACUUCAGGAAACUGGGGCUAAUACCGGAUAGGAGCUCCUGCUGCAUGGUGGGGGUUGGAAAGUUUCGGCGGUUGGGGAUGGACUCGCGGCUUAUCAGCUUGUUGGUGGGGUAGUGGCUUACCAAGGCUUUGACGGGUAGCCGGCCUGAGAGGGUGACCGGCCACAUUGGGACUGAGAUACGGCCCAGACUCCUACGGGAGGCAGCAGUGGGGAAUAUUGCACAAUGGGCGGAAGCCUGAUGCAGCAACGCCGCGUGCGGGAUGACGGCCUUCGGGUUGUAAACCGCUUUCGCCUGUGACGAAGCGUGAGUGACGGUAAUGGGUAAAGAAGCACCGGCUAACUACGUGCCAGCAGCCGCGGUGAUACGUAGGGUGCGAGCGUUGUCCGGAUUUAUUGGGCGUAAAGGGCUCGUAGGUGGUUGAUCGCGUCGGAAGUGUAAUCUUGGGGCUUAACCCUGAGCGUGCUUUCGAUACGGGUUGACUUGAGGAAGGUAGGGGAGAAUGGAAUUCCUGGUGGAGCGGUGGAAUGCGCAGAUAUCAGGAGGAACACCAGUGGCGAAGGCGGUUCCCUGGGCCUUUCCUGACGCUGAGGAGCGAAAGCGUGGGGAGCGAACAGGCUUAGAUACCCUGGUAGUCCACGCUGUAAACGGUGGGUACUAGGUGUGGGGUCCAUUCCACGGGUUCCGUGCCGUAGCUAACGCUUUAAGUACCCCGCCUGGGGAGUACGGCCGCAAGGCUAAAACUCAAAGGAAUUGACGGGGCCCCGCACAAGCGGCGGAGCAUGCGGAUUAAUUCGAUGCAACGCGUAGAACCUUACCUGGGUUUGACAUGGAUCGGGAGUGCUCAGAGAUGGGUGUGCCUCUUUUGGGGUCGGUUCACAGGUGGUGCAUGGCUGUCGUCAGCUCGUGUCGUGAGAUGUUGGGUUAAGUCCCGCAACGAGCGCAACCCUUGUUCACUGUUGCCAGCACGUUAUGGUGGGGACUCAGUGGAGACCGCCGGGGUCAACUCGGAGGAAGGUGGGGAUGACGUCAAGUCAUCAUGCCCCUUAUGUCCAGGGCUUCACGCAUGCUACAAUGGCUGGUACAGAGAGUGGCGAGCCUGUGAGGGUGAGCGAAUCUCGGAAAGCCGGUCUCAGCUCGGAUUGGGGUCUGCAACUCGACCUCAUGAAGUCGGAGUCGCUAGUAAUCGCAGAUCAGCAACGCUGCGGUGAAUACGUUCCCGGGGCU
rnacentral:rRNA from 1 species